rnacentral:rRNA from 1 species
UACGUAGGUCCCGAGCGUUGUCCGGAUUUGUUGGGCGUAAAGCGAGCGCAGGUGGUUUAUUAAGUCUGGUGUAAAAGGCAGUGGCUCAACCAUUGUAUGCAUUGGAAACUGGUAGACUUGAGUGCAGGAGAGGAGAGUGGAAUUCCAUGUGUAGCGGUGAAAUGCGUAGAUGUAUGGAGGAACACCGGUGGCGAAAGCGGCUCUCUGGCCUGUAACUGACACUGAGGCUCGAAAGCGUGGGGAGCAAACAGG